AUUGAACGCUGGCGGGAUGCUUUACACAUGCAAGUCGAACGGCAGCACGGACUUCGGUCUGGUGGCGAGUGGCGAACGGGUGAGUAAUGUAUCGGAGCGCGCCCAGUCGUGGGGGAUAACGUAGUGAAAAUUACGCUAAUACCGCAUGCGAUCUAUGGAUGAAAGCGGGGGAUCGCAAGACCUUGCGCGGUUGGAGCGGCCGAUAUCAGAUUAGGUAGUUGGUGGGGUAAAGGCCCACCAAGCCAACGAUCUGUAGCUGGUCUGAGAGGACGACCAGCCACACUGGAACUGAGACACGGUCCAGACUCCUACGGGAGGCAGCAGUGGGGAAUUUUGGACAAUGGGCGAAAGCCUGAUCCAGCCAUUCCGCGUGCAGGAUGAAGGCCCUCGGGUUGUAAACUGCUUUUGUACAGAACGAAAAGGUUUCUACUAAUACUAGGAGCUCAUGACGGUACUGUAAGGAUAAGCACCGGCUAACUACGUGCCAGCAGCCGCAGUAA
rnacentral:rRNA from 1 species